UACGAAGGGGGCGAGCGUUGUUCGGAAUUACUGGGCGUAAAGGGCGCGCAGGCGGCUCUGAAAGUCAGAUGUGAAAGCCCCGGGCUUAACCUGGGAAUUGCAUUUGAUACUCUGGAGCUUGAGUACGGGAGAGGAGAGUGGAAUUCCCAGUGUAGAGGUGAAAUUCGUAGAUAUUGGGAAGAACACCGGUGGCGAAGGCGGCUCUCUGGACCGUAACUGACGCUCAUGCACGAAAGCGUGGGGAGCAAACAGG
rnacentral:rRNA from 1 species